UCCUUCUUAAUGAAGGCUCUUAAUUUUUACGCGUUGCCAUAUUUUCCCAACCAGAUCUCCUAUGUUUUAUCAUCAAAAUUUAUUAGAAUUUUAUGGUACAUAGAAGAAAGAGAGUCCUACUAUAAGUAUCUAGAAUGUCAAAAAUUCACUCGAUGAAUUUAUUCACUGCAUGGAAAGUUGAAGCACUAAAGGUUGGUGCCCCUUCAUCCCAUGUGAUGUCCCUUGGUCCCCUAUUUAUAGGGGAUGCCCCAAAUAACUGAUGGCUAAGAUUUUAGGUUAAUAUCAGAGAGGAGAGAUGUGGUAAACAUAAAAAAAAUUUAAAAAAAUUGAGAAAAAAAGAAAAAUUUGAGUGGCAAAAGUUGCAGGAAGGGUGGUGAGAUUUUUAGCAAGUAUUGCGAGUGUGCCCUAGGGUUUGAUUUUUCUAUAUAUUG
rnacentral:lncRNA from 1 species